GACGAACGCUGGCGGCGUGCUUAACGCAUGCAAGUCGAACGGUAAGGCCUUUCGGGGUACACGAGUGGCGAACGGGUGAGUAACACGUGGGUGAUCUGCCCUGCACUUCGGGAUAAGCCCGGGAAACUGGGUCUAAUACCGGAUAGGACUGCGCGGUGCAUGCCGUGUGGUGGAAAGAUUUAUCGGUGCAGGAUGGGCCCGCGGCCUAUCAGCUUGUUGGUGGGGUAAUGGCCUACCAAGGCGACGACGGGUAGCCGGCCUGAGAGGGCGACCGGCCACACUGGGACUGAGACACGGCCCAGACUCCUACGGGAGGCAGCAGUGGGGAAUAUUGCACAAUGGGCGCAAGCCUGAUGCAGCGACGCCGCGUGAGGGAUGACGGCCUUCGGGUUGUAAACCUCUUUCAGCAGGGACGAAGCGUGAGUGACGGUACCUGCAGAAGAAGCACCGGCCAACUACGUG
rnacentral:rRNA from 1 species